rnacentral:rRNA from 1 species
GACGAACGCUGGCGGCGUGCUUAACACAUGCAAGUCGAACGGAAAGGCCCUGCUUUUGUGGGGUGCUCGAUUGGCGAACGGGUGAGUAACACGUGAGUAACCUGCCCUUGACUUUGGGAUAACUUCAGGAAACUGGGGCUAAUACCGGAUAGGAGCUCCUGCUGCAUGGGGGGGGUUGGAAAGUUGCGGCGGUUGGGGAUGGACUCGCGGCUUAUCAGCUUGUUGGUGGGGUAGUGGCUUACCAAGGCUUUGACGGGUAGCCGGCCUGGGAGGGUGGCCGGCCACCUUGGGACUGCGAUACGGCCCAGUCUCCUACGGGAGGCAGAGGUGGGGAAUAUUGCACAAUGGGCGGAAGCCUGAUGCGGCAACGCCGCGUGCGGGGUGACGGCCUUCGGGUUGUAAACCGCUUUCGCCUGUGACGAAGCGUGAGUGACGGUAAUGGGUAAAGAAGCACCGGCUAACUACGUG